rnacentral:piRNA from 2 species
UGUGAAGAAAAAUUGUUUUGAAUAUUA